rnacentral:rRNA from 1 species
AUUGAACGCUGGCGGCAUGCCUUACACAUGCAAGUCGAACGGCAGCACGGGUGCUUGCACCUGGUGGCGAGUGGCGAACGGGUGAGUAAUACAUCGGAACGUACCUUAUCGUGGGGGAUAACGCAGCGAAAGCUGUACUAAUACCGCAUACGCCCUGAGGGGGAAAGCGGGGGAUCGCAAGACCUCGCGCGAUUAGAGCGGCCGAUGCCUGAUUAGCUUGUUGGUGGGGUAAAAGCCCACCAAGGCGACGAUCAGUAGCUGGUCUGAGAGGACGAUCGGCCACACUGGGACUGAGACACGGCCCAGACUCCUACGGGAGGCAGCAGUGGGGAAUUUUGGACAAUGGGGGCAACCCUGAUCCAGCAAUGCCGCGUGAGUGAAGAAGGCCUUCGGGUUGUAAAGCUCUUUUGUCAGGGAAGAAACACCGGCUCUAACACAGUCCGGGAAUGACGGUACCUGAAGAAUAAGCACCGGCUAACUACGUGCCAGCCGCCGCCGUAA